rnacentral:lncRNA from 1 species
CCCCUUUCCAUCUCUUUUCCUCUCUCUCUCCCUCUCUCCCUCCCCCCCUCCUUCCUGCCCCCCAUUUCCGGGACACUCAUGAAGAGACAUUGAUUUCAUAGCUUGUUUGAACUGGAAGCGAACCUGGAGAUAAUGAUAAUGACUGAUUUGUAUCAAGUGCUUUGAUGUGGACAAAGUAUUUUACAUACACUAUUUCAUGAGCUUCCUAGCAACAUCGCAGAAGUGAGAACUUGGGCUAUUAUCAUCCCCAUUUUACAGAGGGGAGAACUGAGGCACGGAGAGAUAUUAAGUGAUUUAUGCACAGUCUAGAAUUGAAUCCAGUCCUGCUGGACUGUUAAGAGAUGAGGCACCAGACCUGGAGAACUGACAGGACGUGCCCACUCUUGGGGCUUCCGAGAAUCCGUGUGCCUGUUAGUCUGUACAGCUGUGUGGAGAGGGCUUAGACUUAGGAGCGGAGACACUGGGUGUCAAAUCCCUGGUCCGAUAGUGUAUAUUGGCUCUGCUCCGGGCAGAUAAACUCUCCGAGCCUCGGUUUUCUCAGCUGUAAAAUGGGGCCAAUAGCAGGUGGCGGUCCUAGCCGUACAGGGACCUUGAGAGGCGGAGAGGAAAAUGUAGGGGACACUUUGGUCUCUCUUUAAGAACCAUGUGGUGUGUGGAAUAGUGGAAGUCCAGCGGGAUCGGCUCUCCUCCGUAAAAUGGAAGUGUUGCGGGGGAUGCUCUGCGGUUCCUGCUAGCUCUCCUCCGGGACAGUCCCUUAGACAAAGGGCUGGAGACCCCUGGGGAAAGAAGGGCCGCUCUGGCGCUCGAGAAGCAGGACGGGUCUCUGGCAGCCCUCUGGACCUCCGUUGACCAGUCCCUCUACGGAGGGCGGCUGCGAAGGUCCAUGCUGGGGCCCCUCCUCCCCCCAUGCCUCGGGGGUUCGAGGAGGCCCUUCUGGCCUGGUGUGCAGCGGCCAGCUUGUUUCCGCCCAGCCUGGGAGUGCCCAAGGGGAGAGGAGAGGGCAGGGCGGGCAGGAGGCAGGAACCCAUCCCGAGGGUCAAUACGGAUGGGCCAGGAGCGCUGCCCGCUCAGGUAUGUCCCCAGACGCGCAUCGGCCCGGGCCACAGAUGCUUUUCUGUGCGCCGCUCCCCGUCUGCCCCGCCUUUCCUCGAGCCUCCCGCAAAGGGCCCAUUCAUUCUGGCUGCCCGGAAUGCGGGUGCCUCCUCCUAUUGCCUCCGGCCUGAAAAAAAGACGAUUCCUAGCAGAUAAAGCCCCGGCUGUGUCCAGGCCCCGAGAGUGUUUGUUUGGCCGGCUCGGGCUCCCGCCGUCCCGAGCUCGCCGCAUCGCUUUCCCCCAGGCCGCGGCUGGACCGGAGCUAGGGCGGGCUCUCGCCUUCCUUCUGAAAGGUGGCAGUUUGGAUUGGAACGAGACACCCCCGCUACCUGCCAAGUUCAACACGCCGCGGAGACAAACGGGGCUCUAUCCUCGAGAGGCCCGGCUCCUCGGAGGGGGCAGCUGGGCUCCGGAGCGCCAACGCGAGCCGUGGCUGGCCUCCAGAGCCCCGAGCCAGCUCCCAGACAGGAAUGAGGCGACCGGGCCAGGGAUCAAGGCCUUCAGAGCAGGAGGAUCCACAGUGAUCACAAGCGAUCCCUUUGCCAGGAUCCAGAGGAAGAUCCCCAAACAGCCCACGAAUGCAGAGGGCCUCUGGGAAGCCCAAACUCCCUUUGGAGCUUGCUUCUUUGGGCCCUGAGGAGCUCGGGGGAAAGCUUAGAGAGUACAG